rnacentral:rRNA from 1 species
AACGAACGCUGGCGGCAGGCCUAACACAUGCAAGUCGAGCGCAUCCUUCGGGGUGAGCGGCGGACGGGUGAGUAACGCGUGGGAAUAUGCCCUUCUCUACGGAAUAGUCUCGGGAAACUGGGGGUAAUACCGUAUACGCCCUACGGGGGAAAGAUUUAUCGGAGAAGGAUUAGCCCGCGUUGGAUUAGCUAGUUGGUGAGGUAAUGGCUCACCAAGGCG